GCUCCCAAGGCCGGAAACGCAGGUGGCUCCCGGGGUCCCAGCUGCUGUGAAAUGCUUUAGGUUUGUCUGUGCCUUCCGGAAGAGCCGGGUUAGAGCCCCCGGAGCCGGCGUCGGCGUCGAGGACUGCCCGGGAGAGAGAAGGCGCGUUCUGCGACGCCGAGGUCUGGUGGAUGGGCCAGAGUCACCGAAGAUGGCUGGGAACGCCAGAGGGGAAGUGUCAUACCAGCCAGUUGUUUGCAGUGAUCUACCCAUUUGUAAACCGUUUGCACUGUAUACCCAUUUGAAAUACAAUCCUGUUUGAAGUGUUACUUAUUUAAAAUACUAUUAAGCUAUGAACCAAAGUGAUGCCCUCUUGGCUAAGGAUAUAAGCCAAGCCUCUUGGCCAUGGACCAGUGUAACUCCGCCACAGACCAAUAACUGCUUUUGAGGAUAAGGUGUCCCACCUGGAACAACUGUCUAUCACCGCAUGACGUCAAUGACCAAAUGGGGAGGACAGAGAUCACUUGAUCUUUCAAAUAGAAAGACGUUUAAGCCAUCUCGAAUGGCACAGAAUCCUCCCAGUUUCUGAAAACCGUCAGAGAAUGCCGUCCCUGCCAAUCGCUGGCUUUGUUUCCUGUUUGUGGAUAGCUGCUACUCUCCAUUUCGAACUAACCAGGCUAAGCAAAUCCGUCUUUAAGCAGAUUUCCUCUGCGUUGGUCUCCAGGAGCUGCAGACUAGCUCGUGACCCAGCGUGCAACUUUACGAAUGCGCCGGAGUCCCAAAAACCAGACGAUUCCACUCGACCAGUCAAGCCAGCCAUUUUCCACAUGUGUUCCUGCCCAGGUCUGCGUCUUCAGUGCCGGCUGUGUCUACACUGCAGGGCUGUGCGGUCCGGCCUCGGUGUGCUGGCUGUCUGUAUCUUGCCCUGCUCGCUCACUGCGGGACUCCCACGCACUACUCGUGUGCUUUCUAGCCCACUUUCUGGACGAUGGACAGAAGGUUGUUUUGGACACGUACUCUUCCCAGGCACAGUGGUAGAAGUGUCCAUGCAGUCUGCCCACCCCACUGUAGAGAUGAGACUGAGGCUAGAGAAAGGCUAAAAACAUACUGAAGAGCAGGUGUGUAGGGCGCGGUCAGCAGUGAGGAGCGACCAUGGCCGUCUGACUCCAGUGUCAGCCCCAGCUUAUCGGGAGUAAGCUCCGACCUACGUAGCAGCAGCCUAGGGGCACUGUCAGGAUCCUGAGAAAGCCUGGGCCAGGGCUGGCAGGUUUAAAGAGCAAAAUGCAGGACACCUACUUAAGUGGGAGUUUCACAACAAAUGCUCUUUUUAGCAUAAGUAUGUCUCAUGCAGUAAUUGGUAUAUACUUAUACAAAAAUCAUUGAUUGUUUAUCUGAAAUUCACAUUUGACUGGCCAUCCCGUAUUUUACCUGGGCAGCUUUCUAGAGAAGACACUGUAACUUUUCUACUGACUCAUCAAAAUGAGUUUUGGGUCAAUUGAAACUCUCUCUGCCCUUUGGAGCGGAAUUAGAGUGGUGCAUGGAUUCUGUAAAAUAAUCGAUCCUUAUAACACCCACCUAGAAUUAGACCGUGUUUAUAAAUUAGUUUUACUUGGUCCUGUGCUGGGACAGACUUUCAUCUGAAUAUAUUUUUUUGGCGAUCUUAUGCUUUCUUUCUUUAUAUCACCCAUCCUACUAUUAGCUAUUGCUAAAUUUCACUUUAACAAGAAGUAAAUACAAAGACUAAUUUUAUUUAGCAAGACUGAAGAUAAAACCAACACGUAAAUUCGCAUGAGACCUUUAGUGUUGUCCAAAGCAACUCCUCCAGUUAUCAACCUGAGGCAGUUAGUCAGCAAGAACAUUUGCAGAAUGAUUAGUGGGAGGAGGAUCUCUUCUCAGCCACGGAGGGGGUCACUGAGCCCUGGCGGCUCUUGGGAAGUGGAGCCUGACCUCACUCUCCAGCCUACACCGAAGCAGAAAUGAGAAGGAGCAGAAAUGCCGACACUGAGUGCGUGGCGCUCUCCUCUUUCAGUGAAACAACGAAAACAGCGGCCAGAACCCGACUGGCCAGAAUCAAAGAAAUAGCGUGUAAGGUGACAGACUUAGUGCAGCCACUCCCAGGUCGUGAUGACCCUCAAGCUUAAAUAGAAAAGCCAGGAAACAGGAUUGCGUGCUGCUCCCCAUCUCUUUAGUAGCGGUUAUGGGUUGGGAGGUACACGGGCCCACAGACUCGGCCACGAGGGCGUAUGAGACAUCUUUGGGGGUGAGAAUCAAUACAUUAUUCUCAGUGAGCCAUUCCCUCAACAUGACUAUGGUCCCUCCAGCUCUACAUUAUUUUAGUUACAUAAAAAUGAUGAACAAACGUCAGCUUCCUUGCAAACAUUUUGUCCUUGUUCUUAAAAAAGUGGUUAUAAAGAGUACGGAAUAGGAAUCACUUCUGCAAAGUUUAAUGAGUGAGAAACAUUCAACCAAGGUGACUUCUUGGAAAAUCCUACAAAAACUGAAUUUUAUAAAGUUAUUUUGAUAGAAACCCCACUUGUAAAUGGCAGCCAUUACUUCACUGCCCACAGAAUUGUAGGCCGUCACAUUUGACAUGUUUAGAGUUCAAAAGUUUUGGGAUCAGGUUUUCUAGUGUUAUGAAAACAAAGUCACGCACAGGCAGACUAGUGGUCCCAGGCUAAGGGGACAGCAGCGUCCAUGGUUUCUCUGCUCAGACAGGUACAGACGGCCACUAGACUUGGGCUCAUGGGUUUGACAACAUUCAUGUUUUCUGUUUAAAGAGGAGGUGAUGGGAAUGGAGGGGCAGAUGCGGCGGAGCUUUACUGAGGGGCUUUGCGCUCCAGGGACCGGCUGUCGCAGGGCAUUAGUACCAGAGAGGCCUUC